AUUGCUUUCUUCUGCUUCCUCCUACACAGACACUGAUACAAUGCUCUCAUGUAAGUCUUGGGGCUUUUGGCAAUUUCUUUCUACCCAGUUGCAUUUUGGGGUUCAGGAGUCUAUCCUGUUAGUUUUAUUGUAAAUGUUAUCCAUGGGAUUUGUGUUCUGCUAUCUAUUUUCUCUGACUGUGUUAAAGAGGAUAUUCAAAGACAUUUAACAACUUUGCAGGCACCUCCAUCUUCCCAGAAUGCCUCUGUUUGUACAUACGUAUUUUGACCUGCACAAAGAACCUAUGCCAUAACAAUAAAUAUCUAUGGAAUGUACAUUUCAGUUCUAGAUUAUGUUUACAAUUUCUUUACACAGAGACUAGCACAUAAAUAGGUUAAGGGGGGCAACUGCAUGAGUGUCUACUAUCUUCUGUACAUAAGCCACAGAAACCAACAGUUCCAUGAGCUUAGAGCACAACACAGAAAAAUCUAGAGCCAAUAUUAACACCAGUUUCUUAAAUACACAAACACAUGCAAACACACACAUGCAUAUGUGCAUUCACAUCUGAGCUGUUGCCUGUUGACCUAACAGCUGGAAGUUGUCUAUCAGAAAACAUGCCAUAAAACAGUAAAGGAAUAGUACUGAUCAGUUUGGUUCCAGUGCAUGUUAGCAGGCACUUUUCAAACAUUUUGAGUAGUAGCAAAAGGGUCUUUAUAUUAUACCUUUGAAUCACUCCAUUCAAUGACAUGGCAUCAUUUCACCUAAACCUGAAUGGGUUUUAUUGUUAUGCGUUAUUGAAAAUGUUCAAUUUGACAUAUAAAAAGUAGAGCAACUAGAAUAGAUUCAAAAAAAUCAGAGAUACAUUUGAAAACUGCUACAACAAAACUAGGUGAAUCCUGAAAUAAAAGGAUUUAUGUCAACAUGGAGAUUAACCAUUGAUAGGUACAAAACCCUCAUAGUAUCAGCACUUGUGCAAGAGGGAGUGGGGGGAAGGCAACUGUGCUUUAGACAGCCCUGGAAACAGAACUCAAAACCAUUCGCAGGUACCCACUGGAAAGCAGAAGCAUGGUGGGCAGUUGUCAACUAGAAGGGAUUUCGGCAGAAUCCAAUCCCUUGUGGAAACUCUACAGCAAAAGCA
rnacentral:lncRNA from 1 species